CCUGUUGGUGGGCUUUCGCACGCUCUGUUCCCGUAACACCUCGGUUCCUCCAUAUUCUUCCAAAGUCAGUGGUUGGGUGGUGGGAUCAUUGUACCUGCUGUUUCCCUUCAACGGCCGUGUUAAGAAGAUGUGGGAGCAAGAUCAGCGGGAGGGGCCCUGGUGUGUGCAGGAGGGUAGACACAAGUCACUGAGGCUGUGACACCCCCACACGGGGACCACGUGGCAGAGCGGAAGAGCUUCCCGCCAUGGGGGCACGUCCCUAGCCCGUUCUCAUAUCCUCUGGGUGCUUCGGGAACAUCUGAUUUUAUGGAUGGUAGGUAGUGAAAAUUAUACAUUUGAUGUGCUAAGGCAGUCGGGCGAGUUAGUUUGAGCUUUGCUUUAGAAGAAGCCAAAUCUGUCCAUGUUAUGUUGUCCCUCUCAGCUGUGUUUCUCAAAUGCCAAAUGCAGCUCCAAAUACAAAAUUCGAGAGAGAAAAAUGGUUAAAUGUCAAAAAUGCCGUUUCUCGCACACCUUUUCCAUAAAGAGGUAGGUGUGUAAGUUUCUGCAGUCUCUCCCUGCUGUUAACAUACACAGCACAGGUCAUGUUCGCAAAACCUGGUCUCCCCUCUUUAUUACGGAGGCCCCAAGAAAUUCAGCGAAAUAACCGAGGUCACGUACAGAGUCAACGUGAGACUCGAUUUCUAACUUAAAGACUAGUUUUCACACCUUUAUACCCUGUUCUCAUGAGAUAAUGAGUCAGCAAUUCCUUAGAAUACCUAUUUUCUCUUUCUUUUUUUUUAAAGUAAAAAAAAAAAAAACUGUGAUAUUGAGAUUCACCUGUGUGCACAAAAGGAUAUCACGAAGGGUGAGCCGGUCACACGCGGUGGGUUGAAUCCCACGUGGGGCAACUCCGCAGCUAAGGAGGACAACGUGUGUAAAGUUCUCAGGGUUAUAAAAACCACCCUAGCUCUCUCCCUAUAGGACAUCCUGAUAUAGUAACUAAGAGAUGUGUUUUGUGUGUUUUCAUGUGUCUUAGAAACCAGUGAGUCUUUGGGUAUUUUCAUGUGCCUUAGAAACCAAUGAGACUUUGGGUAUAAGGGUUCUUUUAAAAAAUAGCUAUGCAAUGAAUUCUACCAACAGACAAGGAUAGUGGUUAAAGCCAUUUGAUGCAAAUGAACCAAGAAAACAAGUACCUUUAUGACUUAUUUUCCCCUAUUAGAGCAUAGCUCCUGGAUGUGGGAGAGUGGGUGGGAAGCAAAGCAUUUCUGGAUUUUCCGCUCCGCUCUAUAUGCAUCAUUUCGGGGGUUCCCAGAGUUGGGACACAGGAGAGCAUGCUUCUUUGUCAUCGAUGCAUUUAUUUUUAAGAUUGCCUUGCAUUUGUUGCGAGUGAUACUGGUAUAUCAUAUACCAUGCUACUACAACACUUCCAUUCAAGACACGUUUACGUGAAGUAGAAAGUCAAAUUUCAGUAAAACUCUUAAGCCAGUUGAGGGUGCACAUAUAUGGUAAAGGUUUGCAAAGGUGGCACAUGGAUGGCUAAUGUCAGGGCGACCUUGCUUUGUCUCCUUUGUCUGUCCUUGAAGCAACCAGUGAGGCGGGUACUGUCCUCUGCACUUCGGGUUGCAGCAAGCAUGGGCUCAUGACCCACCUGGGACCCGGGGCGGGGAGGGGCUCAGAAGAAAUUACGUGGAUAUGUAGCCACUAAGCAUUCGAGUGACCCGAGAGCCCAGACAUCAGCGUUAGGACUCUGGGGUCAUUGCGGGGGAAAUCAGGGAGUGCUCCCCAAAAUCCCCGGAGCGGCCCUGCAGCCCGUGAGCCCUGGUUGUGAUGGGUGUCCUUUAGAGAACUGAAAGUUCUCUAAAGAAGAGAACUGAUUCCUGGAGAGCAGAGGACAGCACUCAGUGCACUUGGUAGAGGUCAAUACACGCUCCCUACAGAUGCCUUCACAGUGUUCUCGAUACACGGCCCCCGGUCAGCUGCCAGGGACUGGAAGUUCCUGCUGGGACAAGGUCGCCAGGCUCCUGGUGGGCGCUCCUGCCUGCUUCCCAGGCUGAGUCUCUUGGCUGAGGCUUGAGCUGCGGGUGCCAGCGCGGCCAGGGCAGGUGGGCGUGAAGCCGGGGGCUGGCCCAUGACUCCCUGCAGCCCCCCGCCAGUUGGGAGGAGCAUGCCACUUCUCCUUGUAGGAUGGAGUUUGUGCCAAAUGAAUUCCAGAAUUGUAAAAUUUAAAGCACCCGAAAAACCUCUUUGCUGGGUUUGUAAAGAGCCGCUGCCGCGGCCGUGGGGCCACGUGGCGAAAGCCCUUUGAAGUGGGUGGCGAGACACGGUUUCAGGGAGCCAGCACUCCUUAGGAGGGGCCGGGGGCCAAAGGGGCGAUGGAUCUCUGCCAGGAGGCCCAGAAAUGCAAAAGCACCUAAGACAGUCACGCACGCCAGAGGGGAGGGGUUUGAGGAGCGGGUAGUGAGACAGAGAAUCCCGAAAGACCACGUCCAAAGAGCCAUCAAGGACCUUACUUGUGCUUCCCGGGGACAAAGUUUUAGAAACCAUCCUUUGGGAUUUUCGAAGGCAACCAGCUACCAUUAGUGUGCAGUGGUCGCUGGUUGACUGAAGUGAGCGUUAAACCAGUUAGGUACACACACAGCAAUGGGAGACAGUGGGCAAAGGCAGGGGAGUCCUCCCAGGGGAGGACAGGGAGGUACGUUUGAAGCUACAUGUCCUCAGCUCAGCGGGAAGGAGCCAGAAGAGCAGGGGAGCUGCUUCGGAGGACAGACAACAGGAAACCAUAAGCAGCCCCUCCCUGCACUGAAGUAGUCAAGGGGUGGAGAGGGGCCUGUCUGUGUGUCCGU